UUUCGAACUGUUUGGACGUGUGAAGCGGACAAAAUUGAAACUGUUGCGUGCAACUCAAUGUAACUGCGGCCUGGCCAGGAUCCCAGGAUCGUCCCGCUGCCCACACCGAGCAGUUGCUCGCUCGCCGCGCUCUGUGGCCAAAGAUAACGAGGUGGAAGGUGACGACGUCAGCGGGAAGCAAGGCAAACAAAAAGGAAACAAUAAAAAUAGUGAAAACUUUUGUGCAAAAAACAGACAAAAUAAGC